UUAAGGCGAAACCGCGAAUGGCUCAUUAAAUCAGUUAUGGUUCCUUGGAUCGUACCUUACUACUUGGAUAACUGUGGCAAUUCUAGAGCUAAUACAUGCAGCAGAGCUCCGACCUUCGGGGACGAGCGCUUUUAUUAGACCAAAACCAAUCGGACCUCGUGUCCGUACGAUGUGGUGACUCUGUAUAACUUUGGGCUGAUCGCACGGGCCCGUCCCGGCGACGUAUCUUUCAAGUGUCUGCCUUAUCAACUGUCGAUGGUAGGUUACUCGCCUACCAUGGUCGUAACGGGUGACGGGGAAUCAGGGUUCGAUUCCGGAGAGGGAGCCUGAGAAACGGCUACCACAUCCAAGGAAGGCAGCAGGCGCGCAAAUUACCCACUCCCGGAACGGGGAGGUAGUGACGAAAAAUAACAAUACGGGACUCUUUUGAGACCCCGUAAUUGGAAUGAGUACACUCUAAAUCCUUUAACGAGGAUCCAUUGGAGGGCAAGUCUGGUGCCAGCAGCUGCGGUAAUUCCAGCUCCAAUAGCGUAUAUUAAAGUUGUUGCGGUUAAAAAGCUCGUAGUUGGAUCUCAGUUCCAGACGGGUGGUCCGCCUACCGGUGGUUACUGCCCGUUCUGAACAGCCAGCCGGUUUCCCUUGAUGAUCUUCACCGGUUGUCUUGGGUGACCGGCAAGUUUACUUUGAAAAAAUUAGAGUGCUCAAAGCAGGCGUGACGCCUGAAUAAUGGUGCAUGGAAUAAUGGAAUAGGACCUCGGUUCUAUUUUGUUGGUUUUCGGAACACGAGGUAAUGAUUAAGAGGGACAGACGGGGGCAUUCGUAUUGCGACGCUAGAGGUGAAAUUCUUGGACCGUCGCAAGACGAACUACUGCGAAAGCAUUUGCCAAGAAUGUUUCCAUUAAUCAAGAACGAAAGUUAGAGGUUCGAAGGCGAUCAGAUACCGCCCUAGUUCUAAC
rnacentral:rRNA from 1 species